UACGAACCGUACAAACGUUAUUCGGAAUCACUGGGCUUAAAGGGUGCGUAGGCGGCCAUGUAAGUGAGGUGUGAAAUCCCUCGGCUCAACCGAGGAACUGCGCUUCAUACUGCAUGGCUUGAGGGAGACAGGGGUAAGCGGAACUGAUGGUGGAGCGGUGAAAUGCGUUGAUAUCAUCAGGAACACCGGUGGCGAAAGCGGCUUACUGGGUCUCUUCUGACGCUGAGGUACGAAAGCUAGGGUAGCGAACGGC
rnacentral:rRNA from 1 species